AAACAGAAAGCCCAUUUUAUAAGGUUGUGGGCAACAGCUUUUCUCUUUAACAUUUCAGUGUUCUUUCACAGUCACUGCACCAGUGAGAGCACCCAUUGCCCAGGUUAUAAACAAGCAUCACACUCCAAACCCACUCACGGCAGCAAGAAAGGGUAUAAUAAAUCCUCUUUUCUGUGCCUGAGAAUGUGGGAUACUUUAAUCGUAGUCAUGCUGCCAUCUAGUGGACAUAUCUUAGACCUGAGGGUCUUCUGUCUUCUGGAAAUUGUCAGGAAAGAAUUAGAAGUUUUAAGGUUCAUGUCUGACAUCUAUUUUUCUGUAGGAGACUAAUUUUUUGAAUACCUCUAUAGAUUUCUCUUAGCUUGGAUCAGAGUAUUUUUCACACUAUUCCUCCUGUCUUAGUAGAAAGAUAUUUUCAAAUGUGUCAGUCACACUCAGUGAGCUGGAAGAGAAUUUCUGUUUUCUGCUUUUGUUUAAAAAUAAGAAGAGUGUGACAAGAGAAAAUGUGUCCCCCUGGAAAGAAGUGCCAUCAGACCAGCAAUAGCCUGCCUCCUUUUUUUAGAUCCAUGCUGUAUAUCUUUGAGGGACGAGGCCUCAAACAGACACACUGACAGGUCACUUCCUUUUAUUUUUUUCUUUCUGUUGUUUUCCUGAGACAAUUAUGAACACCCCUGUGUGACAAACACACUCCUAUUUGAACAGCGACAUUUUACUUUAGUCCUUCACCAGCAAGUGCGACAGAGGAAAUGAAGGACAAAGCAAAGAAUCUGGCUUCUUGCUCGGCUGUGAGGCCUGAAUGAGUCAUUUCUUUUCUCUGACCUCGGUUUCUCCCUCUGCUCAAUGAAUAGCGGCAUUAGGCAAUCUUUAAAGCACCUCCUUGCCCAAAAGCACAUUAAGAUAUAUCGUAUGUGAGUUAAACACCCUAUAAACAAAGCCCGUACUAUGCAAAGCACGUGCAAACAAAAUACAAUUGCAAGAUUUCCCUCAUUUUACCCUUCUCUGUUGGUUAUCAGGUCCUCAAUGCUAUCUGAAAAGUCCCGGAGAGAAGGGUUGUCUCUGUCUAUUCAGUGGGCAGUUGACACGUAGGAUUCAUAAUUCUGAGCCCUUCAUUCACUGGAGGGCAUCUAGAGAAAAUAAAACACAGAGGCCUUAGAUAAUGAAAUGAAUCUUUCCAGGGAAGAGCAGGAGAGCAAGGCACUGGCACCGAGUCGCUCAUCCUCAUAUGACCCACUUCUGGCUUCCUUUAACCCUUUUGCUUCCACGGGUAAAUUUCAAACACUGUUACUUGGUUUCUUAAUCUAUCUGCAUGUGCUCCA
rnacentral:lncRNA from 1 species